rnacentral:rRNA from 1 species
CCUACGGGUGGCAGCAGUGGGGAAUAUUGGACAAUGGGGGGAACCCUGAUCCAGCGACGCCGCGUGAGUGAAGAAGUAUUUCGGUAUGUAAAGCUCUAUCAGCAGGGAAGAAAGAAAUGACGGUACAUGACUAAGAAGCCCCGGCUAACUACGUGACAGCAGCCGCGGGAAUACGUAGGGGGGAAGCGUUAUCCGGAUUUACUGGGUGUAAAGGGAGCGUAGACGGCGAUGCAAGUCUGAAGUUAAAGGCGGGGGCCCAACCCCCGGACUGCUUUGGAAACUGUAUGGCUGGAGUGCAGGAGAGGUAAGUGGAAUUCCUAGUGUAGCGGUGAAAUGCGUAGAUAUUAGGAGGAACACCAGUGGCGAAGGCGGCUUACUGGACUGUAACUGACGUUGAGGCUCGAAAGCGUGGGGAGCAAACAGGAUUAGAUACCCUUGUAGUC